AGGGCCUCUUUGAUUCGUAGGAUUUUGAAAAUGUAGGAAUAGGAAAAGUAUAGGGUUAGAGUGGCAUGCCCACUUGAAUCCUAUAGGAGUAGCAAUGGGUGUUUAAUGGCACAGGAAAAACAAAGGAAUUGUAAAAAGAGGUUGGAGUGAAUGUUAGAUUUCCUAUAAAAUGUCGUACAAAAAAUUCCAUAGGAAAAAUUUCUAUGGGAUUCCAUCCUAUAAAUCAAAGGACCAACAUACAAAAAAAUCCAAAGGAUUUCAAUCCUCCAGAAAUCUUAUAAAAUUCCUUUGAAUCAAAGGAGCCCUAUUGCAGUCAGUGCGGCCCAUUUAGCACCUGUUAAUUUUUCUCAAAAAAAAAUAAAAAGUAUGUAAUUAUAAUGACAGUAAAAGAAGUUCAAUAUUCAUGUGUUACAAAGGCUCUAUAAAAAUAAAAUAACCAACUUUAGUAAAAUGUUCACACACUUUAGAAAAUAUUCAUGUAUUAUUUUAAAACAUUCAUAUAAUUGAAUAAUAUAUAUGCGUUAUAACCAUGUUUNNNNNNNNNNACUAGAAUACUAUAUGUCGACGACUAAUGGGCCCUGCCAGUCAGCACAGAGUGUAUAUUAGCGAAAAAACAGAGUUCAACCGGCAACCGGAAGUGACAACAGCAGAGUGUGCUCGCCACCACACCAACUAUCUAGGGCCUCUUUGAUUCGUAGGAUUUUGAAAAUGUAGGAAUAGGAAAAGUAUAGGGUUAGAGUGGCAUGCCCACUUGAAUCCUAUAGGAGUAGCAAUGGGUGUUUAAUGGCACAGGAAAAACAAAGGAAUUGUAAAAAGAGGUUGGAGUGAAUGUUAGAUUUCCUAUAAAAUGUCGUACAAAAAAUUCCAUAGGAAAAAUUCCUAUGGGAUUCCAUCCUAUAAAUCAAAGGACCAACAUACAAAAAAAUCCAAAGGAUUUCAAUCCUCCAGAA
rnacentral:lncRNA from 1 species